rnacentral:sRNA from 1 species
CCCUAGCCCUGAUAGAAGUGGAAAUCCUUUUGUGUCCGCCGCGGCGGACACAAAAGAUUGAAACGAAUAGCAGGGUUCGGCACAAAAGAUUGGAACGGAUAGCAGGAAUAGCU